rnacentral:rRNA from 1 species
UACAGAGGGUGCGAGCGUUAAUCGGAAUUACUGGGCGUAAAGGGCGCGUAGGCGGUAUAGUAAGUGAGAUGUGAAAUCCCUGGGCUUAACCUAGGAAUGGCAUCUGAGACUGCUAAGCUAGAGUGCGGUAGAGGAUAGUGGAAUUUCCGGUGUAGCGGUGAAAUGCGUAGAUAUCGGAAGGAACACCAGUGGCGAAGGCGGCUAUCUGGACUGACACUGACGCUGAGGCGCGAGAGCGUGGGGAGCAAACAGG